rnacentral:rRNA from 1 species
UACGGGGGGGGCAAGCGUUGUUCGGAAUUACUGGGCGUAAAGGGCCAGUAGGCGGCCAACUAAGUCCGACGUGAAAUCCCAAGGCUUAACCUUGGAACUGCGUCGGAUACUGGAUGGCUUGAAUUCGGGAGAGGGAUGCAGAAUUCCAGGUGUAGCGGUGAAAUGCGUAGAUAUCUGGAGGAAUACCGGUGGCGAAGGCGGCAUCCUGGACCAUAACUGACGCUGAGGCGCGAAAGCUAGGGGAGCAAACGGG